ACUUAGUGGCGAACGGGUGAGUAUAAUGUGGGUAUCUGCCCUUUGGUUUGGAAUAACACGAGGAAACUUGUGCUAAUACCGGAUAAGCCUUCACAGGGAAAGCUUUAGCGCCAAAGGAUGAGCUCGCACUUGAUUAGCUAGUUGGUAGGGUAAUGGCCUACCAAGGCAACGAUCAAUAGCUGUUCUUAGAGGAAGACCAGCCACAUUGGGACUGAGACACGGCCCAAACUCCUACGGGAGGCAGCAGUGGGGAAUCUUGCACAAUGGGGGAAACCCUGAUGCAGCGAUGCCGCGUGAGUGAAGAAGGCCUUUGGGUUGUAAAGCUCUUUCGUCGGGGAAGAAAAUGACUGUACCCGAAUAAGAAGGUCCGGCUAACUUCGUGCCAGCAGCCGCGGUAAUACGAAGGGACCUAGCGUAGUUCGGAAUUACUGGGCUUAAAGAGCUCGUAGGUGGUUAAGAAAGUUGGUGGUGAAAUCCCAAGGCUUAACCUUGGAACUGCCAUCAAAACUUUUUGACUAGAGUAUGAUAGAGGUAAGUGGAAUUUCUAGUGUAGAGGUGAAAUUCGUAGAUAUUAGAAAGAACACCAAUUGCGAAGGCAGCUUUCUGGAUCAUUACUGACACUGAGGAGCGAAAGCAUGGGUAGCGAAGAGGAUUAGAUACCCUCGUAGUCCAUGCUGUAAACGAUGUGUGCUAGACGUUGGAAACUUAGUUUUCAGUGUCGCAGCAAAAGCGUUAAGCACACCGCCUGGGGGAGUACGACCGCAAGGUUAAAACUCAAAUGAAUUGACGGGGACCCGCACAAGCAGUGGA
rnacentral:rRNA from 1 species